ACGCACGCUGGCGGCAGGCUUAACACAUGCCAGUCGAGCGCAUCCUUCGGGGUGAGCGGCGGACGGGUGAGUAACGCGUGGGAACGUGCCCUCUUCUACGGAAUAGCCUCGGGAAACUGAGAGUAAUGCCGUAUACGCCCGCAAGGGGAAAGAUUUAUCGGAGGAGGAUCGGCCCGCGUUGGAUUAGGUAGUUGGUGGGGUAACGGCCUACCAAGCCGACGAUCCAUAGCUGGUUUGAGAGGAUGAUCAGCCACACUGGGACUGAGACACGGCCCAGACUCCUACGGGAGGCAGCAGUGGGGAAUCUUGGACAAUGGGGGCAACCCUGAUCCAGCCAUGCCGCGUGAUCGAUGAAGGCCUUAGGGUUGUAAAGAUCUUUCAGCUGGGAAGAUAAUGACGGUACCAGCAGAAGAAGCCCCGGCUAACUCCGUG
rnacentral:rRNA from 1 species